UACGGAGGAUGCAAGCGUUAUCCGGAAUCAUUGGGCGUAAAGCGUCCGCAGGUGGCACUUCAAGUCUGCUGUCAAAGGUCGGGGCUUAACUCCGAACAGGCAGUGGAAACUGAAGCGCUCGAGUGCGGUAGGGGCAGAGGGAAUUCCUGGUGUAGCGGUGAAAUGCGUAGAGAUCAGGAAGGACACCGGUGGCGAAAGCGCUCUGCUAGGCCGCAACUGACACUCAGGGACGAAAGCUAGGGGAGCGAAUGGG
rnacentral:rRNA from 1 species